rnacentral:rRNA from 1 species
AUUGAACGCUGGCGGCAUGCCUUACACAUGCAAGUCGAACGGUAACGCGGGGCAACCUGGCGACGAGUGGCGAACGGGUGAGUAAUAUAUCGGAACGUGCCCAGUAGUGGGGGAGUAGCCCGGCCGAAGACCGGACUUAAUACCGCAUACGACCUGAGGGUGGAAAGACGGGGGAGUCGCAAGACCUCGCGCUACUGGAGGCGGCCGAUAUCAGAUUAGGUAGUUGGUGGGGUAAGGAGCCUACCAAGCCGACGAUCUGUAGCUGGUCUGAGAGGACGACCAGCCACACUGGGACUGAGACAC